UCGUGUCAACUGAAAAAUUCCACACAAUUGUUUUAUUGUUUGCAGUUUUAUAUAAUCAUUUGCGACGUGAUUAGCUGCAGGCAUUUCAAUAAAUAAAUCCAACCCCUUGUAUGCAGUUGCAUGCAUAACUUGACAAUUUCCUCUUUUUUUUUUUUUUUUAUGACGAUGAUUAUUUGGCGGCCCUGUCACAGCGCACAUUGGCUGCUGCGAGGCCACCGCGGAGCUCGCUUUGCAGCGGCUGCAACCUGACUCCAAUAUGCUACGAAUGAGAGACUCGAUCUUGGAUUAAGAUCCCCGCAGCCGUACCGACAUUCGGCUUGCUGCUGAGAGCGCACGUGGAACACAAGCUGAAAAAUAACACGUACUAAUACGCUCCUUGCGUGGGGUUGAAACAUCAGGAAGCAGCACGGGCGAGCCGUGUGGCCCUGCGGGUUAUUUGAUUUGAUUUGAUUAAGAUAAGCUCCAUGCAGAGGAACCAAACAAAACAAAUCUUGUGGAACUUUUGAGACGAAAACGCUCCGCCUCUCACUCAGUCCAGACUAAUUCUACGAGGUGUGCAGAGGCUUUUAAGCUCUAAUUGAGCACAGGAAAAGCAAAGGCGAACUCUGCACAGACCAGGCUGCGUUUUUAUAGCUGUUCAACUAUUCUGCUGAGCUUUUUUUUUUUUUUUUUUUUUCUCUCCCCCCCACCCCUUACAACCAGACAAACACCACAAAACUGGCCAAGCAUGGCAGCAAGUCGCCACCUACAACGGCUCCAAAGUCAGCAGCUUGAGGAGCUGCAACAACAACGCCAAACAAGUGGACAUAUAGCUGGGCCAAAGCCGUGUGCAACAAGGUCUUGUUAGACUCCGAGUCAACAAUUCAUUGUGAGAAGAAUCUGAGGGUCCAGUUUAACCCCGCGUCAGGUAGGCCCGGCUGGCCGGAAAGCAGCCUAAAUUGGCGCAUUCAGACCUUGCAGAAAGGAACCUCCUGUAGUUUGUCCUUCAGUGCUGCCUGGUUUUGUUUUCAUUUUAUGAUGGAAAAAAAAAAAAAAAAAAAAAGGAGCUAUCACACCUGCAAGUCAAAAGGGGAAAUACUCUAAGUUUACAAGAUGAACCAAUGGAUCCACUGUUAGGACACACAUUUGGAAGAAAAGUUGAAGGAAUAAAAGGACACGUUUGAAAGUAGCGAACAUAGAACAUAGUGCCAUUACGCGCGCAGCCGAAAUGCAUUGCAAUGAAUCUCCUUUCCUAAAUACUUCACCUUAUUCACACACAUCAAUCAUAAACGUUUGCACAUUUUUUUUUUUUUUUUUUUUUUGAAGAGUAAAAUCUUGUUUUUGAACUUGAAUGGUGCACGGUUGCUGCCCGCGCUGACAGCAGGCUGCAGUUGCGCGGGGAGUGUAAAACCGUUUGGGUGUAACAGGGUCAAAAACAUUCACACCUCAGAGUUUAGGAGCGGAAAAGACAACGGGGACAUUAAGGUGAGUUUAAAGGAGGGGGGGGGGGGGGAAGAAGGAGAACCUGAUUGGAGGCGCAUCGGAUGUUUUUCUCCCUCCACAGGUGACAGAAAAGUGCCGGGACCACACAGGAGCCUCGCUGGGGAAAGUGAGCAACUCCACGGUCAACGGGAGCAUCUCCGGACGAGCCAGUGGAGGAGGUCCACAAUGGCGGCUUGGCGUUUCGGUGGACAAUGGACCCGGACAGAAGGAAAUAAAGCGGAUUUUAGUGCCACAAUAAAUGAAAUACGAAGCAUG